GUGGGGAAUAUUGGACAAUGGGCGAAAGCCUGAUCCAGCAAUGCCGCGUGAGUGAUGAAGGCCUUAGGGUUGUAAAGCUCUUUUACCCGGGAUGAUAAUGACAGUACCGGGAGAAUAAGUUCCGGCUAACUCCGUGCCAGCAGCCGCGGUAAUACGGAGGGAGCUAGCGUUGUUCGGAAUUACUGGGCGUAAAGCGUACGUAGGCGGCCAACUAAGUCAUACGUGAAAUCCCUCGGCUUAACCGGGGAACUGCGUCUGAUACUGGAUGGCUUGAGUUCGGGAGAGGGAUGCGGAAUUCCAGGUGUAGCGGUGAAAUGCGUAGAUAUCUGGAGGAACACCGGUGGCGAAGGCGGCAUCCUGGACCGAUACUGACGCUGAGGAGCGAAAGCCAGGGGAGCAAAC
rnacentral:rRNA from 1 species